rnacentral:sRNA from 1 species
GGGGACAACAUCCAGCUUGCAGGGCUGGAGGGGGAACGGCCAGAGCAGGAAGACAUGGGUCUCUGUUCUCUGGAACACCUACCCCCAAGGACCAGAAAUUCUGGGAUAUGGGAGUCUCCAGAACUGGACAGGAAUCUGGCUGAAGAUGCUUCAAGCACAGAGGCAGCAGGAGGUUAUAAAGUUGUGAGAAAAGCACAUAAGGACAUUUCUUUCUGCCUGGCACAAACCAACUACCAGUACCAGUCUCUGUUAGCACUCCUCACUGAUCUCCUGGUCCCAGGGAAAAGAGCCACUCUUCUCAGGAGCCUCAGGCCAGGAAAGACAGGGCAGCUGAGGUGGCAGGCAGCAAGGUUGUCCCUGCACUACCAGAGAGUGGCCAGUCAGAGCCUGGGCCACCUGAAGUGGAAGGCGGAACAAAGGCUACGGGGAACUGCUUUUAUGUCAGCAUGCCAUCAGGACCCCUGGACUCAAGCACCGACCACUCAGGGGCACCCACGAGCCCCCCUCAGCCUGACAGCCUCCCUGCAGGGCAGACAGAGCCUCAGCCUCAGCUGCAGGGAGGCAACGGUGAUCCAAGACGCCCCAGCCACUCUCCCCCAAGCCUGGCCCUCAGGGACGUGGGCAUGAUCUUCCGUACCAUUGAGCAGCUCACCCUCAAGCUCAACAGGCUCAAGGAUAUGGAGCUGGCCCACAGAGAGCUGCUCAAGUCCCUUGGGGGAGAGUCAUCUGGUGGCACCACGCCUGUGGGCAGUUUCCACACAGAAGCAGCUAGAUGGACAGACGGCUCUCUCUCACCCCCCGCUAAGGAGCCCCUGGCUUCUGACUCCAGGAACAGCCAUGAACUGGGGCCCUGCCCUGAGGAUG